GGCCUCGUCCAUUUUUCGGCGUGAGGCAGGCACGUCGGUGGGGUGAUGCUACGACGCCGGGAAGGGGCCGGCAGGGCGGCGGGGAGCAGCCCGCCCGCUCGGGCUCGGCGCCUUUGAGAGGAGCGCCGCUCUCUCCUUCCUUUGCUUUCACCGAGGCCGGCGGCUCGGGGCCCGGGGUACGAGGCCGGCCCGUGGGGUGCGGUGCGGGAUAGCGGCGGUGCCGGGCGGGGACCCGCCGGCUCCAUUCAUCCGUCGGUCCGUCCGUCUCCUUGCAGGCUCCAGACGAAGGAAAGGAAGUCUUCUCCGAGGCGCGGGGAGGAAGCGGGACCACUGGCGUUUCAUGUUCCGCCAGCCCGACGGCAUUUUGGCGUUAAUUCCGACCUGCUCCCACCUGCACCCGGGCAGCGACGGGGAGGACGAGGGGCACCGUGCCGCCAUGUCCCGGUACGGCCUCCGCAACCUGCUGGACUGGCUGUACGGCGGGGUGGACCCCAGCUUUGCCGGUAACGGAGGGCCGGAGUGCGCGGCCUUCCUGUCCGGGCGGCAGCGCUUCGUGGAGAGCCUGGUGUUCCUCAGCCUGGGAGCCGCCGAGAUCCUCGUGGCGCUCUGCAAACUGCGGCAGCUGCACCUGAAGGAGCUGGACGGCCACCUGCUGCAGCAGCCCCGCAACAAGCACGAGAGCCUGGGCAAGAACCUGCUGCUCGUGGCGCUGUGCCUCGUCUUCGGGCUGGAGGUUGGCUUCAAGUUCGCCACCAGGACGGUCAUCUACCUGCUGAACCCCUGCCAUGUGGUCACCGUGAUGCAGAUUUUUCUUCUUGCUUGCCCUCCAUGUCGGGCUGCGAUGAUUCUCUUCAGGUUGCAGAUGCAUAUGCUGAAUGGGGCUCUCUUGGCAUUGCUGUUUCCUGUCGUUAAUACACGCCUGCUUCCAUUUGAAAUGGAAAUAUAUUACAUCCAGCAUGUGAUGCUCUACAUUGUGCCCAUCUAUCUGCUGAGAAAAGGAGGGAUCUACACUCCAGAACCACUCUGCAAUUUCUGGUGGGCUCUUUUAUCUACUGGCCUUAUGUUUGUAUAUCACUUCAGCAUCUUGCAGAUUCUGGGACUGGUUACAGAAGUGAAUCUGAACAACAUGUUAUGCCCAGCCAUUUCAGAUCCUUUUUAUGGGCGCUGGUAUCGAAUUUGGGCAUCUGGACAUCAGACUAUUAUGACUAUGACUCACGGGAAGCUUGUCAUCUUACUGUUUUACUGCGCUGACCCCGUCUUUAAAUGUAGUGUGGACUUGCUUAGACUUCCAGCUAAGAAAAUUGACUGAAAUUUCUCCCCAUGGAGCAGUACAUACAGGAAGCAGAAACCCUUAUGUUCAUACUGGAAAACCAAGAGGAGGGAUGAGAAGACAAUGUGUUUAUUAUUUUUCUCCCCGCAGUUUAUGGCCUCACAAACACCUCUAUUAUCAAUUGAGGGUUUUUCUUUCAACUGCUGUUUUUCACUGCCUACUGUCAAUGGCAGCAUCAGUGGCCUUAUUCUGGAAGAGGUUUCUGCUCUAUAUGUUUUGUGUAGAUUACAGUAGAAUCUUGCUAAUUUACCCUUUAAAAUUAGGUGAGGAUCAAUCUACAUUCCAGCAAAGAGUGGCAGCGCUACCUCAUUUUGACUUAUUUCCACUAAGUACGAUUUUUCCAUUAAUACAAUUAUAUCAGAGGAUAGGAAAUAAAGCUGAAUUCCAACUCUCUACUGAUGCGAACAGAACACAUCUUGAAAUGCAUCAUCGUGGCUUAACUCUUAGCACUUACAUGUUGCAAAACGGUCACGGUGGAACGACGUGCACUUAAUAUCCUAGUCAUAAGUGCAAGGCAGUGACGUUUUACUGUAUUUUCUUUAAGCUGGUUGGAAAUAUUGGGGAACAAUAACUCUUUCAAAUACCUUGUGUUGGUUUUGUUUUCAUUUUGUUUUGUUUUUUUUUUUUAACUGAAUGCUUUGGUUUCCAGCUUGCUAAGGAUAAAUGUCUGAUCAGUGAGGUCACAUCAGAUCUUGAUGCUUCAGAGAUGAUUUUGAGUGAGUAGAAAAACACCACACAGAAAUUAUGAAAAAGCCCAUGUUAUGUGUAAGUUAUGAUAGGUAUUUAAUCAACAAUGCUGACCUGCCUUAAGCAAAGUGCUUCUGUCACUUAGCUUAGACUGGAGACUGAGUAGAGAUGCAAUGUACAGUGUAAACAGUUCUUUUUUUCACUUAGUAGCAUUUUAAACAUUCCUCCUCUGUAUUCUACCCAGAUCCUUAGUAGAGUGGUUGGUGAGGAAACAAAAUGAAACUGUUUUCUGUCUCUAUAGCUCUAAAACAUUCUUCAUACUGAUUUUUAAAAUGAGUAUAAAAAGGAAUGUGAAAACAGCACAGGCUUCUACUGAGAAGACAAUGUUACUUGAUCUAAUAGGCUAGAUCUAAUUGUCAAUAUUAGUUUUGAAGUAGAAAAGGAUCUAAGUGGAGAGAAUUAUAAAUAGUAAACUGGAAAAGGGGAGAAACUGUAGGGGGGGAAGCUUGGAUGUCUUUACUGUGUUUUUCCUGAUAGUUAACUGUAGAUCUGUGCUGUGCAGCCUGUUGCAUUUCAGGGCUGCAGGAGCUGUGUUGUACAAAACGUUAGUUGCCAUUGGCUUUGCAUUGUCAUAGCUGUGACUUUUAAGAGAAAGACAGAACCGUCAUACCUCCUCUGGAUGGAUCACCUGAAGAUACAUCUUGAUGUUAAGGUACAGUUGUUUAUACCUCAAGAAGAGAAGUAAGAAUAAGUGGUUGACUUUUUUUGUUCUCUUUCCUGUUAAGAAUAUAACUGGGGAGUCAUAUAACAAAUGACUUGUCCAAAUGUUUUCACUUUGCAUGUUUUUUGUUGUUGUCUUGUUUUUUAAGCACAUUUCCCACUCAAAGUCUUUUCUGCUACAUCCAAAUUUACAGACCAGCUUCUGGCUUUUUUCCAUGUCUAUGAAGUAAACAACCUGUGCUAUUUACUACAAAUUGAGAUGUAAUAUUGAGCUAAACUAUGAAUGGUCUAUAGCUAGUCCCAGUUGUAUAGACUGAACUACUACCUUGUUUGGUUUGAGAAAAGUAAGCACUUGGUAGUAAGAACUACUGUCUCAUGGAGUUGACUGUGAAUUACUGAUCCUACAGAUGUUUAAGUACACAAUUAAUUUUAUCGAGCUGUCUCAUUACUGCUUCAGUGAACCAGGACAUGUGUUGUAUAUUUGUGGAGGGGUGAGCUAAAGACAAUGUGUAUUGGUACUGAAGGCCUGAACCCACCCAUGGAAGACUACUUAAUUAACUGCUGAUGUGGUGCUUAAUUCAAGAGUCAAUAUUUCAUUUGCAGUUGAUGAAAUACACGAUGUUGCUGAGAGAUGCUAAGAUGAACAGGAGUAUUCACACUUAUCACCAUUAAUUGCCUCCAGUCAAUUAAGACUGCAGAAGCAAGACGCAUUUAAGUAAGCUCAGUGCAGUCUCUUUUCUUAAAAUACAAAAUUUUCAAGUCCUUAUGACUUAAAAUUGAGGAAAACUCUUAUUUCCUUUUCACACCUCCCCAGUUUGGGUUUUGGUGCAUGUUGAACUUGUGGCUUAAGAUACUAAAAUGUCUAAUUGAAUGUAAUAUUUCAGUAAAGAGAAGUGGCUGCUACACUCAAUAAGGAUUUUAUGAGCAUCUGGAUUUUAUGGCUGUCAGGAGAGUGGAGCCACUGGGAUCUGGAGGGAAGAAGGGCAGCUGAGUCUUAAACUUUUCUUGAUGGUAUUAACAGCUGGAUUCACAGAGACUUGAUAACAGACAGGUGUUCAUCAAAUCAAUAUGAAUACAGCUUCUCCUGUCUGAAGCUGUCUGUACUGCUAGAUCCAAGAGUGAUUAUCACUGCAUCUAGAACUCCAAAGAUGUUCUCGAGGGCUUUCUGGCCAAUCUCACACAAUUGCCAUCAUUACUGCCUUUCUGAAAAGCUUCUGGCUGUAAUUGUAAGGACACGUAAGUACACUGCAAUAAUGCUGAAUGGAAGGAUAACCCAACUGCCCUCUUUGACAUAGCCCUAAUAUUUGGUACUGUUUGGUUAGUUUGGUUUUUGUUCUGUGAUAACCCUGUUAUCAGUUAUAAAUAACAGUUAUUAGUGAAUUAGUGAUUCACUAAUUGUGAAUGCUUACAUUAAAAGAAAAAAGAAAAGCAAUCAACUGACAAAGCCACGCGAUCAAGCAGAGAAACGUAAAAAGAAAUGGUGAUUCUUUUUCCUUAUUUUAUUGGGUAAAUGAUUUAAAAGGUAAUAACAAUAGUGUUAAAACUACUACAAUAUCUUUCCACAGCCAUAUCUCACAGACCCACAGAUAACCUUCUAUAUAAUGUUUUUUUUUCUUUUUCCUCUUUUUAUCUUUUUUUUAAAUUUUUUUUAAGCCAUACUUAUAUUAAAAUGCCCAUUUCAACAGUUUCUUCACACUAAUAGCAAUUAAAUGUGGAAGGAAGGAGGAUCCGGUUAUAAAGGAAGGGGUUCGGGUAAUCUGUGAUAUAAUUCGUCAUCAAUCAAGUUACUAAGAAAGGAAGAAAAAGAGAGGCCUUGUCAGCUACUCCAGGCAGCUCCAAGCCCACUGUGUGUCACCACGGCAUUAGAUAACUCAGGAUGCUGGUGAGCAAUUUAAAGGUUUUCUUUUUCGUAACAUAUAAAAAGCUAAAAUAACUUAAGAAAGUAGAUCCAAAUAUUUGGAAAAGAAUCAACGUUGAUAUACAAAAACAGUCAGAAGUUGUUACAAAAGUCUCAAACAAAAGUUUGUUUUUCUCAGUGCGUUUAUGUACCAGCGCAAUUACUGGGUCCAGAGCAAAGAAAGAGGUCUUUGUUUUUUUUUAUUGAACAGUAAUAAAAAACGAGGAAAACAUAUCUUUCUAUAUAAAGAAUCAUUGCUGGUCUUAAGAAUAAAUGUAACCAGAAACCCUUUAAAUCUUAGAGGCACACUUUGGGUUUCUUUUUUUUUUUUCUUUUUUUUUUUUUUCCUUUUUUUUUUUUUAAUUUCCUUUUUCUUUUUCUUUUUUUUUUAACAUAAAAGGAAAAGUCACCGGUUUAUUUCAAUGGAGGUCCUCGGACUCCCCCAAAUAAACUUAAUUCAAUUAACAUCACUAGCAAAAAUCAGUUAGAAACUGUACAAAAAUAAAAAAAUUAACACAUUUAAUCCUGCGGGGCUUUUGCAAGGACUGGAAGGCAGGCUUCAGGAGCAGCAUCUGGGCAUGGCUGGAGGCUUCUUUGGUUCGGUCUAACACACAUGAGAGAUGUAACCUACUCCAGACAACGACUUUAAAAACCCGCACAUUUUGAAGACAAGUAAAGAGGUCCGUAUACAAACGCCAGGGUGUGCAAAUGGGAUUCGACUCUCUUAGGAUCGUAUCUGAGGUCAGAACUCUCAGGUGCCCUCCCCCUGCUGGGACCAGCGUUGGGGCUGAGAUGGUGCCAGGUCAGUCGGUGCUGCAGCGGUCCAGGAGGAAGGAAGGCCACUUGAGGCACGGCUACGCAACAGCCUGAUGCCAGGCUGGGGUUCUGCUGCCUCACUUUGUUUACAGAAGGGGGGACUUGAGAAAAGUUAAGCACAAGAAUAAUUUAAAAAAAAAAAAAUAAUAAAAAUAUUCAAGGAAUAAGGCAAAUGGAUUUAGUGCUUAUCAAAGAUCAGCAUUCCAACUUAAAGAGUGAAAUCAGCUACCUGGUUGUACCUUCACUUCUUAUGAAGUGCCCCCAAAUUAAAAAAAAAACCAAAACAACAAUACAAAUACAUCUAAAUCCAGCAAUACAGAGUGAUAACUAUGAGAGAAUGGCAACUGUGAAAGCAAUUGUCGAUUCGCUUUAGGCCAACAGACCUAUUCUGUGCCACUGUGUCACAGUGAACUGCAUGUUUCGUACAGGUAACCCCACAAUUAGAAGCAAUCCGCAGUAUUCUCAGCACUCGGUCUUGUGCUGAGGAGGUAGGUGCCCUACAAACACUGUCGAUAAACAGAUUAUUCCAAUCUUCUCUACAAAAAAAUACCAUACAACCUGAUUGACCGCAGAACUUCGUAACAGCUUUUUUUAAUUAGUGAUACAAAACUCUGGUCCAGAAGGGCCUGGCGUUAAGUCGUGUUGAAAGCACACCUUUACAGUUUGUAUAACACCCUUUUAACCAUAUCUGUAAGCGACGGCUACUAAGAGAUAGAUAGACAAAAAUGCAUUGUGCAUUAUGCUGUAUACAAAAAGGAGACAAAACUAUCCUUUCCCCCCCAAGCCAUGGUGGGGGAGUAUUGCUGACCUUGUCCUUAAAAACCCGCAGGAUUGUUUAUUCAUCAGUAUAUUAUUAUUACACUGGUAAGAAAUUCUGUAUAACAUCUGCAUAUAUCGAAGAUUUCUUAAAAAAAUCUGAUAUGAUUUUUAGAUCCGCAUGACCAGUCACGUGACCUGCUUGAGGUUGAUUAGCACCUUUCAAUACAUAUAUAUUUCUAUAUAUAAUAGAUCUGCUUAAAAAAACUUCUAACGAUGAGCUCAGGCAGCGCUGGGAGCGUCUGCAACGAGAUGACGGCUAAAGACAGGGUGGGAUGACUUUGUGUUUUGCUUGUUUGUUUUUUGCAGCAGAAUGAUUCAGUUUGUGCUCAGUUUCCCUAUAAGGGCAAGGAAAAAAAAAAACAGAACCAAAACACCUCUUGGGCAGCCACCGGUUCACAGCUUCCACUUGAAGACAAACCCAUUUUAAACCGCUCCCCCCAAGUAGAAACAAGACAACAAUAUCAUCCAAAAUAGCCUCUGUAUAAACAUCUAUUAGUUUCUGCAGCGUCUGCCUGGCACCUCUUGGCUCCUGACGCUUCAGGCCCUCUGCUUAGAAAUUAAGGCAUCACAACUGAAAAUGGAAAUAUUUGGACAUCGGAUGCUGUGGAUGAAGGAACACAAAAGACCUUCUACAAGAACCUCCGCUCACAUUAAGUGGCGUUUCUCACAUGAGGGAUCAUUUAUCCAUAUCUGAACUUGAUCUUCAUUUAUCUGAGUGCUAUAUGGAUUUUUAAAAACGCUCCUUAUUCGAAAUAACAACUGCAAUUUCUGCUUACCGUAAUUGACUCGCCCAUAUGAGGAAGGUCUUUUCCAUACCAGAUGGGAUGUGGAGUCCCCUAAAACAUGCACUGAACUACAGCGGGUAUUGGUGGGCGUUCUACAGGCACGUGAGCGAGGAGGCAGCUCCCAGCCUACAACCACACCACGCACACUGCUUAAAAAGUCCUAUUUCUACACUUGUUAGAAGUUCUCAUCAGUUUUCUUUCCCCUACCUUGUGGAGAGUCAUUAUAAAGUACUUACAGCUCUCAAGUACUAUUCCUGUGAUACAUGGAAACAUGUACAAAUUAUGGCAUACUUGUCCUGUGCUCUUGCACAACACUAUCUCUUUUUUUUUUCAACAAGGUACCCAGCUAUUCAUGACUUGAUAAAACCCCACCAAUUCAAAAGCACAAGCAAGAACAAAACAGGGAUUUUUGUUUUCUAAAAUAAGCUAAAAAAA